UACAUGGGCUCCAAGCGUUAUCCGGAUUUAUUGGGCGUAAAGGGUCUCCAGGUGGUUUGGUUAGUCGGGCGUAAAUUCCGCUGCUUAACGGCGGAGCUGCGUUCGAAACGGCCAAACUCGAGGGAUGGAGAGGGAGUAGGAACUCACGGGUGUAGGGGUGAAAUCCGUUGAUAUCGUGGGGAACACCAAAGGCGAAGGCAAACUCCUGGCCAUUUCCUGACACUCAUGAGACGAAAGCGUGGGGAGCGAACAGG
rnacentral:rRNA from 1 species